rnacentral:rRNA from 1 species
GGAAAGAUUUAUCGCCGAGGGAUGGGCCCGCGUCGGAUUAGGUUGUUGGUGAGGUAACGGCUCACCAAGCCUGCGAUCCGUAGCUGGUCUGAGAGGAUGAUCAGCCACACUGGGACUGAGACACGGCCCAGACUCCUACGGGAGGCAGCAGUGGGGAAUCUUGGACAAUGGACGCAAGUCUGAUCCAGCGAUGCCGCGUGAGCGAUGAAGGCCUUAGGGUUGUAAAGCUCUUUCGCCCGCGACGAUGAUGACGGUAGCGGGAGAAGAAGCCCCGGCUAACUCCGUGCCAGCAGCCGCGGUAAUACGGAGGGGGCUAGCGUUGUUCGGAAUUACUGGGCGUAAAGCGCGCGUAGGCGGCCCAUCAAGUCAGGGGUGAAAGUCCCGGGGCUCAACCCCGGAAUUGCCUUUGAGACUGAUGGGCUCGAGUUCGGGAGAGGAGAGUGGAAUUCCCAGUGUAGAGGUGAAAUUCGUAGAUAUUGGGAAGAACACCGGUGGCGAAGGCGGCUCUCUGGCCCGAGACUGACGCUGAGGCGCGAAAGCGUGGGGAGCAAACAGGAUUAGAUANCCUGGUAGUCCACGCCGUAAACGAUGGAUGCCAGACGUCGGG